rnacentral:rRNA from 1 species
AUGGAAGGAGAAGUUGUUUCCUCUGGAGGUAAAGAGAUGCUUAUUAAGGCUGUUGCUCAAGCUAUGCCAGUAUUUGCGAUGUCUGUGUUCAAAAUUCUGAAGAAAAUCUGCAAAGGGAUGAUGGACGCAAUAUCGAAGUACUGGUGGGGUGAUGAUGACAACCACAAGCGUAUACACUGGGCGGUAUGGUGGAAACUAUGUGUGCCUAAGGAUAGAGGAGGACUGGGGUUCAGGGAUUUACAUCUUAACCUUGCUCUACUUGCCAAACAAGUAUGGAGGUUGCUGGAAAACCUAGACUCUCUCUGUGCACAGAUUUUGAGGGCCAAAUAUUAUCUGGAUGGAAAAUUAUUAGACGCUAAAUUGAAGAGUGGGAGCUCUUAUACGUGGCAGAGUAUUUGUGCUGGGAUUAACACGUUCAAGAGAGGCGCAAUAUGGCGCAUAGGGGAUGGUUCGCAAGUGAACAUCUGGUUUGACUCGUGGAUUCAAUCUAGUGCUAAUGGAUGUGUCAUUACACCGCGAGGAGCGUCUGUGUUGUCAAAGGUUUCUUAA